CCUACGGGAGGCAGCAGUGAGGAAUAUUGGUCAAUGGGCGCGAGCCUGAACCAGCCAGGUAGCGUGAAGGAUGACUGCCCUACGGGUUGUAAACUUCUUUUAUAAGGGAGUAAAGCGAGGCACGUGUGCCUGUUUGAAUGUACUUUAUGAAUAAGGAUCGGCUAACUCGGUGCCAGCAGCCGCGGUAAUACGGAGGAUUCGAGCGUUAUCAGGAUUUAUUGGGUGUAAAGGGAGCGUAGAUGGGUUGUUAAGUCAGUUGUGAAAGUUUGGGGCUCAACCGUGACAUUGCAAUUGAUACUGGCAGUCUUGAGUACAGUUGAGGUAGGCGGAAUUCGUGGUGUAGCGGUGAAAUGCGUAGAUAUCACGAAGAACACCGAUUGCGAAGGCAGCUUACUAAACUGCCACUGACGUUGAGGCUCGAAAGUGUGGGGAUCAAACAGGAUUAGAUACCCUAGUAGUC
rnacentral:rRNA from 1 species